CCCAUAACAGAUGAGAAUUAUGGUUCAGAAUAUUUUAAUAUUAAAUAAUUUAGUUUGUGAUUUAUAAUUAAUGUUGUAGAGGAAGAGUCAGCGGUGCCAGGAGAUUUUGAUCAGGGGACUCAGCACCCCAGUGCGUAGGUUGUGAUUCGGAUCAGUGGUAACGUCAGUCUACAAUUCCUGUAAGAAUCCCUACAUCUGAGCACUUCUAUGCAUAUAUCUGAUUUAUCGUUGGAUUUAUUUUAUAAUUAUGUUGUUAUUGUUUUAUAAGCUGAUGUGAUACCUAUGAGGCCUGAAUUUUUGUUCAUUAGAAAAAUAUUGAAAUCAAUUCAUUUGAAAAGAAAUAAUAGAUUUUUGAGAAUCUAUGAAAAUGUGAGAAAUGAUUGAAAUUUGAUUAAACAUGUAAAACUGGACAUGUAGAAUGGGUUGGACUAACCUUGUCAUGAGAUAACCUCUACGAGCUUAUGCGUAGGAUAGCUGCCACAAGCUGAUGCGUGGGAUAGCCUCCACGGGCUUACGCGUGGGAUAGCCUCUACGAGCUUAUGCAUAGGAUAGCCUCCACGGGCUUACGAGUGGGAUAGCCUCUACGAGCUUAUGCGUAGGAUAACCUCCACAGGCUUACGCGUGGGAUAGCUGCCACGAGCUUAUGCCUGGGAUUUGUGCAGUCUUGGACUGGGACAUGAACUUGGUUAGUCCAAAGCUAGAAGUGAAAAGUCUGAAAACUUGGGAAUCAGAGUAAUACGGGAAUUGAUCACAUAAUGUGAAAAAGGAUUUAUGUGUAUGAAAUGGUUGCAUAUAUUUGCUGUUUGUUGAGCCUUUGAAAUGAUGAAAUGAUAUUAUUUUGAUGUUUUGAUCAUUUUAUUAUUAUUACUGUGUGUGACUGUUGGAAUUUUUACUGGGCUGGAAAAGCUCAUACUACUCUUACUUUUCUGUUCAGAGGCACUGGAUUUGUAGAGUCCAUCGGAUGGGACAAGAAAUAAGAUCAGCAUGGAGUCUGACUGCUAGAUAGAUAGAAAUUAAUUUAUCUUUUGCUUAUGGACAUUUGAAUUUAUAUAAUCAUUCAGUACAUUUUGGUUGGUUUGGUUUAAUUACAUUAAUCAUAGAAUUAUUGGAAUCUAGGGCUCAUGCGACCGGUCAUGUAAUGGGUUCGGGGCGUGACACGAGUACUUGUGCGAGGCAGGUCCGAUGAGCACAGGACGAAGUAGCCAAGCUGCCUCGAAUAAGAGGCUUUACGUGAAUAAAUCCUCCACGUGAGAAUGAAAAGGAGGGAAUGGAGAGUCGAACCCACGACCUCCUCUAAAUCAAACCAACACACCAACCAUCCAAGCUAUAUUCCUAUCU
rnacentral:lncRNA from 1 species